ACCCUAACCAAAUCAUAAAACAAAUCCUAAAUCCUAAAUAUAAUCUUAAUCAAAUUCUAAACCUUAAAUCAAAUCCUUACCAAAUUCUAAAUCCUAAACAAAUCCUAAACCAAACACCAACCAAAUCCUAAAUCAAAUCUAAACAAAUCCUUAACCCUAAAUAAAAUCCUAACCAAAUUCUAAACCCUAAACCAAAUCCUAACCAAAUCCUAAAUCCUAAACCAAACCUCAACUAAACCCUAGUAAUUCCUACAACAGAUUCAAACCUCAAUAACAAAUGAAUAAACCAUUGAUCUUAAUUCCAAUUUUUUAAACUUUUUAAAAACUAAGUUGAAAACAAGCACAAAAAAAUUGAAAAGGAUUGAAAUUAUCAAAUAGACGAUAUCCUCAAAAACAUGCUUGGAUAUUGGCCAGGCUCCUUCUCCAACCUUGAUGUCAAUUUUCCAGAGCCAAUAUCUUUUUUUUUCAUCGUUCAAUUUAUCUCAAAAUUCUCAUAUACAUAGAAAAACAAGUCUAAUAUCUUUUCACAUAAGUUUCACUCCAAUUCAAAUAAGAGAUUUCAAGAAAUCUUAAAAACCUUCAUUGGACCUAAAAUUCUACUUUCUGAGACCUUAACUCACUUAAAUCUCAAUAUCCUCAAUUAAACCGUUAGAUCAAGCUCAAAUUUAUAAUACAUAUUAAACACAAUUAUAACCAUUAAUCUAUAAAAUUUCACUUGUAGAUCUAUUACAAAACUCGUGAAAUCACCCAAAAUAUAAAUCCUAUUUUAUUUCACAAAACCCAAGUCAUCC
rnacentral:lncRNA from 1 species